rnacentral:rRNA from 1 species
GGGAAUAUUGCACAAUGGGGGAAACCCUGAUGCAGCGACGCCGCGUGAAGGAAGAAGUAUUUCGGUAUGUAAACUUCUAUCAGCAGGGAAGAAAAUGACGGUACCUGACUAAGAAGCCCCGGCUAACUACGUGCCAGCAGCCGCGGUAAUACGUAGGGGGCAAGCGUUAUCCGGAUUUACUGGGUGUAAAGGGAGCGUAGACGGCUGUGCAAGCCAGAUGUGAAAGCCCGGGGCUCAACCCCGGGACUGCAUUUGGAACUGUGUGGCUGGAGUGCAGGAGAGGUGAGCGGAAUUCCUAGUGUAGCGGUGAAAUGCGUAGAUAUUAGGAGGAACACCAGUGGCGAAGGCGGCUCACUGGACUGUAACUGACGUUGAGGCUCGAAAGCGUGGGGAGCAAACAGG